AAGGUAAUGAAUAUCAAGCACAUAUGGAUGCUUUGGGCUGGAGCUGAGUAGAAUGCAUAAUUUUGUCCACAGAAAAUUUGAAAUGAAGCAAGUGCCAGGUGGAAUUUUUUUCUAUUCCAUGAGCUAUGUUAAUUCUAUCUUCAUUAGGCCUAAUGCUUGAAUAAACCAGAUGUCUAAUCAAUAAAUUAUUUUCAUGCCCAGAA